CGAAGGUGGCAAGCGUUGUUCGGAUUUACUGGGCGUACAGGGAGCGUAGGCGGUUGGAUAAGCCCUCCGUGAAAUCACCAGGCUUAACCUGGAAAGUGCAGAGGGGACUGUUCAGCUAGAGGAUGGGAGAGGAGCGCGGAAUUCCCGGUGUAGCGGUGAAAUGCGUAGAGAUCGGGAGGAAGGCCGGUGGCGAAGGCGGCGCUCUGGAACAUUUCUGACGCUGAGGCUCGAAAGCGUGGGGAGCAAACAGGAUUAGAUACCCUGGUAGUCCACGCCUUAAACGAUGGAUACUAAGUGUCGGCGGGUUACCGCCGGUGCCGCAGCUAACGCAGUAAGUAUCCCGCCUGGGAAGUACGGCCGCAAGGUUG
rnacentral:rRNA from 1 species